UGGAGCGUAGCGCAGUCUAGCAGCGCAUAUGCUUUGGAAGCAGAGGAUCGCGGUUCGAAUCCUGCCGGAUCUACCA
rnacentral:tRNA from 1 species